rnacentral:rRNA from 1 species
GAUGAACGCUGGCGGCGUGCCUAAUACAUGCAAGUCGAGCGAAUGGAUUGAGGGCUUGCUCUUAUGAAGUUAGCGGCGGACGGGUGAGUAACACGUGGGUAACCUGCCCAUAAGACUGGGAUAACUCCGGGAAACCGGGGCUAAUACCGGAUAACAUUUUGAACCGCAUGGUUCGAAAUUGAAAGGCGGCUUCGGCUGUCACUUAUGGAUGGACCCGCGUCGCAUUAGCUAGUUGGUGAGGUAACGGCUCACCAAGGCAACGAUGCGUAGCCGACCUGAGAGGGUGAUCGGCCACACUGGGACUGAGACACGGCCCAGACUCCUACGGGAGGUAGCAGUAGGGAAUCUUCCGCAAUGGACGAAAGUCUGACGGAGCAACGCCGCGAGAGUGAUGAAGGCUUUCGGGUCGUAAAACUCUGUUGUUAGGGAAGAACAAGUGCUAGUUGAAUAAGCUGGCACCUUGACGGUACCUAACCAGAAAGCCACGGCUAACUACGUGCCAGCAGCCGCAGUAA